GGUAAAGUGGCUGAUAAAAGCGAUGGACUGUAAAUCUAGGCAUGGAGGUAGACCCUCCUUUUACCA
rnacentral:tRNA from 1 species